rnacentral:rRNA from 1 species
UUAAGUUAUUAAGGGCGCACGGUGGAUGCCUUGGCACUAGAAGCCGAUGAAGGACGUUACUAACGACGAUAUGCUUUGGGGAGCUGUAAGUAAGCUUUGAUCCAGAGAUUUCCGAAUGGGGAAACCCAGCAUGAGUUAUGUCAUGUUAUCGAUAUGUGAAUACAUAGCAUAUCAGAAGGCACACCCGGAGAACUGAAACAUCUUAGUACCCGGAGGAAGAGAAAGAAAAUUCGAUUCCCUUAGUAGCGGCGAGCGAAACGGGAAGAGCCCAAACCAACAAGCUUGCUUGUUGGGGUUGUAGGACACUCUAUACGGAGUUACAAAGGACGACAUUAGACGAAUCAUCUGGAAAGAUGAAUCAAAGAAGGUAAUAAUCCUGUAGUCGAAAAUGUUGUCUCUCUUGAGUGGAUCCUGAGUACGACGGAGCACGUGAAAUUCCGUCGGAAUCUGGGAGGACCAUCUCCUAAGGCUAAAUACUCUCUAGUGACCGAUAGUGAACCAGUACCGUGAGGGAAAGGUGAAAAGCACCCCGGAAGGGGAGUGAAAUAGAACCUGAAACCGUGUGCUUACAAGUAGUCAGAGCCCGUUAAUGGGUGAUGGCGUGCCUUUUGUAGAAUGAACCGGCGAGUUACGAUUUGAUGCAAGGUUAAGCAGUAAAUGUGGAGCCGUAGCGAAAGCGAGUCUGAAUAGGGCGUUUAGUAUUUGGUCGUAGACCCGAAACCAGGUGAUCUACCCUUGGUCAGGUUGAAGUUCAGGUAACACUGAAUGGAGGACCGAACCGACUUACGUUGAAAAGUGAGCGGAUGAACUGAGGGUAGCGGAGAAAUUCCAAUCGAACCUGGAGAUAGCUGGUUCUCUCCGAAAUAGCUUUAGGGCUAGCCUCAAGUGAUGAUUAUUGGAGGUAGAGCACUGUUUGGACGAGGGGCCCCUCUCGGGUUACCGAAUUCAGACAAACUCCGAAUGCCAAUUAAUUUAACUUGGGAGUCAGAACAUGGGUGAUAAGGUCCGUGUUCGAAAGGGAAACAGCCCAGACCACCAGCUAAGGUCCCAAAAUAUAUGUUAAGUGGAAAAGGAUGUGGCGUUGCCCAGACAACUAGGAUGUUGGCUUAGAAGCAGCCAUCAUUUAAAGAGUGCGUAAUAGCUCACUAGUCGAGUGACACUGCGCCGAAAAUGUACCGGGGCUAAACAUAUUACCGAAGCUGUGGAUUGUCCUUUGGACAAUGGUAGGAGAGCGUUCUAAGGGCGUUGAAGCAUGAUCGUAAGGACAUGUGGAGCGCUUAGAAGUGAGAAUGCCGGUGUGAGUAGCGAAAGACGGGUGAGAAUCCCGUCCACCGAUUGACUAAGGUUUCCAGAGGAAGGCUCGUCCGCUCUGGGUUAGUCGGGUCCUAAGCUGAGGCCGACAGGCGUAGGCGAUGGAUAACAGGUUGAUAUUCCUGUACCACCUAUAAUCGUUUUAAUCGAUGGGGGGACGCAGUAGGAUAGGCGAAGCGUGCGAUUGGAUUGCACGUCUAAGCAGUAAGGCUGAGUAUUAGGCAAAUCCGGUACUCGUUAAGGCUGAGCUGUGAUGGGGAGAAGACAUUGUGUCUUCGAGUCGUUGAUUUCACACUGCCGAGAAAAGCCUCUAGAUAGAAAAUAGGUGCCCGUACCGCAAACCGACACAGGUAGUCAAGAUGAGAAUUCUAAGGUGAGCGAGCGAACUCUCGUUAAGGAACUCGGCAAAAUGACCCCGUAACUUCGGGAGAAGGGGUGCUCUUUAGGGUUAACGCCCAGAAGAGCCGCAGUGAAUAGGCCCAAGCGACUGUUUAUCAAAAACACAGGUCUCUGCUAAACCGUAAGGUGAUGUAUAGGGGCUGACGCCUGCCCGGUGCUGGAAGGUUAAGAGGAGUGGUUAGCUUCUGCGAAGCUACGAAUCGAAGCCCCAGUAAACGGCGGCCGUAACUAUAACGGUCCUAAGGUAGCGAAAUUCCUUGUCGGGUAAGUUCCGACCCGCACGAAAGGCGUAACGAUUUGGGCACUGUCUCAACGAGAGACUCGGUGAAAUCAUAGUACCUGUGAAGAUGCAGGUUACCCGCGACAGGACGGAAAGACCCCGUGGAGCUUUACUGUAGCCUGAUAUUGAAAUUCGGCACAGCUUGUACAGGAUAGGUAGGAGCCUUUGAAACGUGAGCGCUAGCUUACGUGGAGGCGCUGGUGGGAUACUACCCUAGCUGUGUUGGCUUUCUAACCCGCAC